UACGUAGGGUGCAAGCGUUAAUCGGAAUUACUGGGCGUAAAGCGUGCGCAGGCGGUUGUGCAAGACCGAUGUGAAAUCCCCGGGCUUAACCUGGGAAUGGCAUUGGUGACUGCACGGCUAGAGUGUGUCAGAGGGGGGUAGAAUUCCACGUGUAGCAGUGAAAUGCGUAGAGAUGUGGAGGAAUACCGAUGGCGAAGGCAGCCCCCUGGGAUAAUACUGACGCUCAUGCACGAAAGCGUGGGGAGCAAACGGG
rnacentral:rRNA from 1 species